rnacentral:rRNA from 1 species
AGCCUACGGGUGGCAGCAGUGGGGAAUAUUGGACAAUGGGGGGAACCCUGAUCCAGCCAUGCCGCGUGUGUGAAGAAGGCCUUUUGGUUGUAAAGCACUUUAAGCGAGGAGGAGGCUCCCAGUAUUAAUACUACUGGAGAGUGGACGUUACUCGCAGAAUAAGCACCGGCUAACUCUGUGCCAGCAGCCGCGGUAAUACAGAGGGUGCAAGCGUUAAUCGGAUUUACUGGGCGUAAAGCGUGCGUAGGUGGCCAAUUAAGUCAAAUGUGAAAUCCCCGAGCUUAACUUGGGAAUUGCAUUCGAUACUGGUUGGCUAGAGUAUGGGAGAGGAUGGUAGAAUUCCAGGUGUAGCGGUGAAAUGCGUAGAGAUCUGGAGGAAUACCGAUGGCGAAGGCAGCCAUCUGGCCUAAUACUGACACUGAGGUACGAAAGCAUGGGGAGCAAACAGGAUUAGAUACCCGGGUAGUCCA